ACGGAAGGCAGCAGUGGGGAAUAUUGGGCAAUGGGCGCAAGCCUGACCCAGCAACGCCGCGUGAAGGAAGAAGGCUUUCGGGUUGUAAACUUCUUUUGUGAGGGAAGAGGAGAAGACUGUACCUCAUGAAUAAGCCACGGCUAACUACGUGCCAGCAGCCGCGGUAAUACGUAGGCGGCAAGCGUUAUCCGGAUUUACUGGGUGUAAAGGGCGCGUAGGCGGGAAGGCAAGUCAGGUGUGAAAUCUAUGGGCUUAACCCAUAAACUGCACUUGAAACUGUCUUUCUUGAGUGCUGGAGAGGUAGACGGAAUUCCUUGUGUAGCGGUGAAAUGCGUAGAUAUAAGGAAGAACACCAGUGGCGAAGGCGGUCUACUGGACAGUAACUGACGCUGAGGCGCGAAAGCGUGGGGAGCAAACAGGAUUAGAUACCCUGGUA
rnacentral:rRNA from 1 species